UGGGGAAUCUUGCGCAAUGGGCGAAAGCCUGACGCAGCGACGCCGCGUGAGUGAUGAAGGCCUUCGGGUUGUAAAGCUCUGUGGAGGGGGACGAAUAAGGGCUGGCUAACAUCCAGCCUGAUGACGGUACCCCUUUAGCAAGCACCGGCUAACUCUGUGCCAGCAGCCGCGGUAAGACAGAGGGUGCAAACGUUGUUCGGAAUUACUGGGCGUAAAGCGCGUGUAGGCUGCUUGGAAAGUCGGAUGUGAAAGCCCUGGGCUCAACCUAGGAAGUGCAUUCGAAACUUCUGAGCUGGAGUGCUGGAGAGGAAGGCGGAAUUCUCGGUGUAGAGGUGAAAUUCGUAGAUAUCGAGAGGAACACCGGUGGCGAAGGCGGCCUUCUGGACAGUAACUGACGCUGAGACGCGAAAGCGUGGGGAGCAAACAG
rnacentral:rRNA from 1 species